rnacentral:rRNA from 1 species
GAUGAACGCUGGCGGCGUGCCUAAUACAUGCAAGUCGAGCGAACGGACGAGAAGCUUGCUUCUCUGAUGUUAGCGGCGGACGGGUGAGUAACACGUGGAUAACCUACCUAUAAGACUGGGAUAACUUCGGGAAACCGGAGCUAAUACCGGAUAAUAUUUUGAACCGCAUGGUUCAAAAGUGAAAGACGGUCUUGCUGUCACUUAUAGAUGGAUCCGCGCUGCAUUAGCUAGUUGGUAAGGUAACGGCUUACCAAGGCAACGAUGCAUAGCCGACCUGAGAGGGUGAUCGGCCACACUGGAACUGAGACACGGUCCAGACUCCUACGGGAGGCAGCAGUAGGGAAUCUUCCGCAAUGGGCGAAAGCCUGACGGAGCAACGCCGCGUGAGUGAUGAAGGUCUUCGGAUCGUAAAACGCUGUUAUUAGGGAAGAACAUAUGUGUAAGUAACUGUGCACAUCUUGACGGUACCGAAGCAGAAAGCCACGGCUAACUACGU